GGGAGGGCUGUUGUUGUCGGAGGCUAUGAUCAGAUUUGUCCCGGAGCGCGGCGGUGUCGGUGGCCGUCGUCGUCUUGGGCGGGCUGUUGCUGUCGUCGCAAACUGGAAGAAGGCUCGAGUCGUCGAAAGGUAUGGUCCCUGAUGAAUCCGGGGCACCAACGGCUAGGCCUCACCGCCGAGGGAUAUCUUCCACCUGUGUGCGCGCGGCUACUUCUCCUGUGGCAGCGGGAAGCGCGGCAAGGCGCUGUCCGCCGCGGACUAGCUGCUCCGCCCCGCCGUCAUCAAAUGGCUUCGCUCACGCGUGCUCCUCGACCACGUACUCGCCCGCGAAGAGAACCGCGUCACCGCCGCAUUCCGUUGUGUGUGCCUUGGGAAGGACCCCUCCACCCACUUCCUCCUCACCGUCAAUCUCUAGGUGCACUGCACCCCCACCUCCAGGCCCCGACCCCUGGUCGUGCCAUGCCGCAUCUAGAUUCCACCAGGGACAUACAAGGAGGCGCGUGAUGCUAUUUCUUUUCUUUCUUUUGAUCCCAUAGGUAUCAGGUCGGCCAGAUGCGUACAACGUCGUGUUCUACUUGGUGGUGGAAGCGCCCAUCCCAGCCGACGGACUCGCUGCUGGGCUGCUUCAUCCACGACAACGGCGCGUCGUCGACGGGCCGUGGCUCAUCUGCGCCACCGUAGCAGCUACGUGCGUGGCUUGCCUGCUUGGGCAUGCGCCCACGUGCCGCUACCACAGGGAUGAUGGCUACCUUGAGAUCGACGUGGACAUCGGCAGCUUGGCGAUCGCCAAGCCGUUCUGCACCUCGCGCUCGGCGCCAUCAUGUCGGUCACCAUCGACAUGGGUCGCCAAGCCGUUCUGCACCUCGCGCUCGGCGCCAUCAUGUCGGUCACCAUCGACAUGGGGUUCCUUGUCGAGUCCCAACCUGAGGAGGAGCUGCCCGAGAGGCUGUUCGGCGCCAUGCGUAUCGCGCAGAUGGAGAUGGGCACAACCGGGUACGUGAAGCUGCCUCCGAUGUGGCCAUGCCGGAGACGGCCGCAGGGCUAAGGCCAGUUUCAGGGUAAGCUUAGCGAAGCUGGUCAACUAUAGCCGCUAGUAAGACCAUGCCGGUGGCAAGGUGGGCAGGUCAAUGAGUUGCCCGGAGCGAUAGCGAGCAGUGAAGGGCCACAUAAUCAUUCCACGUUUUGACACUGGAGUAUGUCCAUUUUUUCUACUAUUGUUGAAGUCUUAGACUUGAGUCAAAAUCACAGUGUGAAGAAGCACAAGGGAUACGAAGGAUGGAACGAAGCCGAAGCUGUGCGCAAGGGAGCUUCGGCGUGAUAACAGAAAAGGAAACCGACUUAAAGGGGAAAAGGCUAUCUAGACCCCGAUGAAUUACUAUAGAAUUAUUAGCAAAUGUAAAGGGCAUGAGUGUAAUUUUACAUGGGCUGCGUCAUGUGCCUAUAAAUAGAUGAACAAUGCUCC